rnacentral:rRNA from 1 species
CAGCCGCCGCGGGAAUACGAAGGGUGCAAGCGUUAAUCGGAAUUACUGGGCGUAAAGCGUGCGUAGGCGGCUUCUUAAGUCGGAUGUGAAAUCCCUGAGCUUAACUUAGGAAUUGCAUUCGAUACUGGGAAGCUAGAGUAUGGGAGAGGAUGGUAGAAUUCCAGGUGUAGCGGUGAGAUGCGUAGAGAUCUGGAGGAAUACCGAUGGCGAAGGCAGCCAUCUGGCCUAAUACUGACGCUGAGGUACGAAAGCAUGGGGAGCAAACAGGAUUAGAGACCUCCGUAGUCCCUGUCUCUUAUAU